GCAAACUUGGUCAUUUAGAGGAAGUAAAAGUCGUAACAAGGUCUCCGUUGGUGAACCAGCGGAGGGAUCAUUACCAGAGUUGCCUUUAGGCUCUCCAACCCACUGUGAACAUACCUACGUUCCCCCGGCGGGCUCAGCGCGCGGCGGCCUCCGGGCCCCGCGCGUCCGCCGAGGGCACCCAAACUCGAUUUUUUACUCGUGUAUCUCUGAGGGGCGAAAGCCCGUAAAACAAAAUGAAUCAAAACUUUCAACAACGGAUCUCUUGGCUCUGGCAUCGAUGAAGAACGCAGC
rnacentral:misc_RNA from 1 species